GAGAGUUGGGUGAGAAUGGGAAUAGCAGGUAGGGUUGGGGAAGUGCUUUCAAGGCAUUCACCGCCACACUCGGAAUCGCCACCAUUUACCUCACCGCCACCUUCUCCGUCAACGUUUACAGAGGCCUCUCUUGGCACAAUGCUCAAACCGGGGAUAAAACUAAAAUUCCUAGAAUUAUUGAAGGUGCUUCUGAAGGCAAGGGACGUGGGAGGCAGGUUAUUGCUGUUGCUAAAUCUUCAGACAUAGUACUGAUGGUUCUUGAUGCUUCCAAAGAAACAUAUGAAGAAUCAAUGACACAAAAAUAUGGAGAAGACACUUCAUCUCAUCCUGUAAUUGAUUCUGAUCUUUGGUUAAAAGCUGCAGGUGAAAACAAGAAGAAAAGAGUGCAUGGCAUGGGACAUAGCUUGGAUCUUGGAACUAGUAGCUCUACCCAAGCUUCAUCUCCAGAGGUUGCAGGUUCCUCUACAAAUCUUACGCCUAUGACAGAAGAACGGGUCACUACAGUUAUAAAUAAUGCAUUGACCUCUUUUUUGCAAACACAAUUACCAGAGAUGAUGAGGCAAAUAAUUCAGGCAGUUCAACCAUCAACAACACCAUCAACCAACCAACAUAGGGAGGAUCAAGGACGAGAUGAUGAUUUUACUAGCUUAGGUUGAUUACUAUUUAGGAUGACUCGUUAUUUGACCUCUUUUUGUAAGACAUUAAUUAGUUUGGGUUUCUUUAAGAUAGUAUGCACAAGUUGGAUUUUGUAAGACAUUUAACAAUUUGGUUUUGUAAGAGAUAUUGUUACAUGCAACUUUUAUUUUAAAUUAUGUCGAAUUGAAAAAAAUUUAUGUAGUUGAA